ACCAGGGUGGCUGAGUGGUUAAGGCAGUGGGCUUAGUCUCCAAUGGAGGAAUGACCUUGUGUGUUCAAAGCCCACUCCUGGUA